UGAGGAAUAUUGGUCAAUGGGCGCAAGCCUGAACCAGCCAUGCCGCGUGAAGGAUGACGGCCCUCUGGGUUGUAAACUUCUUUUCUCUGGGACGUAAAAAGAUCAUUCCUGAUCACUUGACGGUAUCAGAUGAAUAAGCACCGGCUAACUACGUGCCAGCAGCCGCGGUAAUACGUAGGGUGCAAGCGUUAAUCGGAAUUACUGGGCGUAAAGCGUGCGCAGGCGGUUAUGCAAGACAGAUGUGAAAUCCCCGGGCUCAACCUGGGAACUGCAUUUGUGACUGCAUAGCUGGAGUGCGGCAGAGGGGAAUGGAAUUCCGCGUGUAGCAGUGAAAUGCGUAGAUAUGUCGCAGAACACCGAUUGCGAAGGCAGCUUACUAUGGUUUAAUUGACUCUGAGGCACGAAAGAUUGUGGAUCAAACA
rnacentral:rRNA from 1 species